rnacentral:lncRNA from 1 species
AAGCAGACAGACCCACAACCUUUUUGCACCUGUUUUUUCCACUCCGGCUGCGGUGAAUAGUGAGGUCUUCUUUACAGAUAGACAGAGAGCAUUUUGCAAACACUCCCCUCUUCAAGGCAAUGGUUUCUUCCCUCACAAGCUCAAUCUACCUGAUUACGUUCUCCUCUAAUCAGUAACCUCAGUUCCUCUAGUAAUAACUGUGCCGCCUGCUUUAUAUAGGAUUUCUCUGAGACUGAAGCAUAAACCAGAGUGGAGAAUUACAGGAGCUGAUUAUUGUGAGGACACCUGUAUUUUUGUCUACUCUUCAUGUGAACUUGAAAGUGCACUCGUUUAUGCAAACUGAUGUAAGUGAAAGAGAAGCAGAAAAGGGGAAGCAUAAAGAAGAGAAUGGAACCUAUGCGGAAAUUUCAUUUGGAAAGAACAGGAGGUGUUAGUGCGAAAAAGCCCAUUAAUUGUACUGUAUCCCCUUGCCUAAAAAGAGUACUGCACCCAAAUUACAGAAGAACUGAGGAAACCUUGUAGCAUGAGUAUAUAAUUACCAGUACUGCUAAGUGAAUGGAAAUGGAGGUUGCCUAACUUAAUUAACUGUAAUCAUUACUCAUUGUCAUUCUGCUUAGAAAGAUUAGUUGAGGGCAUUCGUUCUGUGCUUUCACAUUAGGCAUUUCUACUUCCCUCUUAAAUGUGUAAAUGAUUAUACUACAAAGAAAGAAUUGCCACACAUUUUCAGAUACAAACUUUUCUGCGCAAGUAAGCUCCAUGCCUUAGUUCAGGGAGUGGAACAGGAAUAAGAAGACACUUUGUGGGACUAAAAUUAGAGAAAUGAAGAAAAAAAUAGAUUACAUAAGUUAGUGGCUUGAAGAGAAAAAAGGAAUCCUGCAUGAGUUUUCAUCAGGAAAAUAGCUCUUGACUGGGGAGAUGGGGAGGAGGGGAAUAACCAUUUAAGAUCUAUAAAGAAAAGGAAAAGAU